rnacentral:rRNA from 1 species
GACGAACGCUGGCGGCGUGCUUAACACAUGCCAGUCGAACGGAAAGGCCCUGCUUUUGUGGGGUGCUCGAGUGGCGAACGGGUGAGUAACACGUGAGUAACCUGCCCUUGACUUUGGGAUAACUUCAGGAAACUGGGGCUAAUACCUGAUAGGAGCUCCUGCUGCAUGGUGUGGGUUGUAAAGUUUCGGCGGUUGGGGAUGGUCUCGCGGCUUAUCAGCUUGUUGGUGGGGUAGUGGCUUACCAAGGCUUUGACGGGUAGCCGGCCUGAGAGGGUGACCGGCCACAGUGGGACUGAGAUACGGCCAAGAGUGCUACGGGAGGCAGCAGUGGGGAAUAUUGCAAAAUGGGCGGAAGCCUGAAGCAGCAACGCCGCGUGCGGGAUGACGGCCUUCGGGUUGUAAACCGCUUUCGCCUGUGACGAAGAGUGAGUGACGGUAAUGGGUAAAGAAGCACCGGCUAACUACGUG